AGGGUUGUCUAUGCGUGUUGCUAACACGCCACCCCCAGG
rnacentral:tRNA from 1 species